rnacentral:lncRNA from 1 species
UUUCUUUUUCCUUUGGAGUGCUAACACAGCAAGCUGAUCUGAUCCUUCUCUGACUGGGAAGACCCUGACUAUUCUGGGACUUAGGAGAUUAAAGGCCAAGGUGAGGAAGCAUCAGUGUUGGUGUUAUUACACCUGCUUUACCAUAAGGACAAAUCAGGCAAAAGGCAGAAGAGCAGGUGGACGCUAAUGAGUGAACAGAGAAUGGCUGAUUUAAUCAUUUAAUAAAGAAUUGCUAUCAUGAGCGAGCAGCAUAAAGUCUAAUAUAAAGUGAAGACACUGUCGCAUUUGGUCGUUAGCCUGUGAUGGAGACCUUGACCUUUGCCUCUCCGGAUAAAGAGAGAAGCGCUCGCCGCAGUAGAUUUAAGCACGUCGCCCUCGAUGUUGUUAGAGGCGAUGAAGCCCUUGAGGAGGAGAACAUAGGAAAAUAG